rnacentral:tRNA from 1 species
GCGAGGUGAGCCAGCUGGGAACGGCGCCUUCCCCACAAGAAGGACUCGAUAGGUUCGAUUCCUAUACCUCGCACCA